rnacentral:ribozyme from 1 species
GUUGCUCUGUUUUUUUUUUUUUUUUUUUUUUUUCUUGGUUGUUGUCGUGUU